CCUGUCAUGGUCUGGGUGUGUGGCUGUAAAAUUCCAUUGAAGGUCUGGACCUCCCUGGUAUCCACCCAUGGGCAGGGCCUACAGCCUCCCUCACCUGAAGCUGAUUGAGGCAAUCAGGUUGGAGAUUUAAGCUGCUUGCUGACACUGCUUCCUCGCCAGUUCGUCAACUACCUUAUGUUGGUAACCAGGCCUCACGCUUCAUGUUCAUGAAUCUCAAGUGCUCUACUAACCUUGCAAUCUCGUGUUCUAGUUACUCCAGGAAAACUCCAUCACACCGGACCACUCAUCUUGGAAAUCUGGUUAACCCGCAAGCUCUCGGAAUCAUCUCCUUGCCUCACCUGCCUGCCCUCCUGCCCUUAUACCACCUCGGGACCUUCACCACUCAGGACAGCUGCCACACACCACCUAACCCACCUGGACCGCACCACCUCUCCCUCAACGCUUCCAUCUCCCACCUGCACAUACGUACCUAAUCACCAGCAGCUGCCGUUGCUCUCUUGGACCGGUCCCCUUGCUUAUCCCUCUCCCCUGGCCAAGACCCUCACGCCCCAUAUAUCAAGCCUUAAAUCAAGUACUAACGUGAACGUCAUUUUGGUGUUAGUCAAUAAACCUUUGUUAAACCCUUUA